rnacentral:rRNA from 1 species
AGUAAAAAGUCGUAACAAGGUCUCCGUAGGUGAACCUGCGGAGGGAUCAUUACAGAGACUCUGCCCUUUGGGUAGACCUCCCACCCUGUGUCGUUAUACCUUUGUUGCUUUGGCGGGCCGCGGGGCUCCGGCCCUGCCCCUGGCUCCGGCUAGGGCGCGCCCGCCAGAGGACUCGAAAACCUGAAUGUUAGUGUCGUCUGAGUACUAUAUAAUAGUUAAAACUUUCAACAACGGAUCUCUUGGUUCUGGCAUCGAUGAAGAACGCAGCGAAAUGCGAUAAGUAAUGUGAAUUGCAGAAUUCAGUGAAUCAUCGAAUCUUUGAACGCACAUUGCGCCCCUUGGUAUUCCGGGGGGCAUGCCUGUUCGAGCGUCAUUACAACCCUCAAGCUCAGCUUGGUCUUGGGCGUCACCGGUCCCCGGUGUGCCUUAAAAUCAGUGGCGGCGCCGUCUGGCUCUAAGCGUAGUACAUACUCUCGCUACAGACGCCCGGCGGAUGCUGGCCAGCAACCCCCAAUCUAUCAAGGUUGACCUCGGAUCAGGUAGGGAUACCCGCUGAACUUAAGCAUAUCAAUAGCCCGGAGGAA